rnacentral:rRNA from 1 species
UACGGAGGGGGGCUAGCGUUGUUCGGAAUUACUGGGCGUAAAGCGCGCGUAGGCGGACCUGCGAGUCGGGGGGUGAAAGCCCGAGGCUCAACCUCGGAACUGCCUUCGAUACUGCGGGUCUCGAGUCCGGGAGAGGUGAGUGGAAUUCCUAGUGUAGAGGUGAAAAUUCGUAGAUAUUAGGAAGAACACCAGUGGCGAAAGGCGGCUCACUGGCCCGGUACUGACGCUGAGGCGCGAAAGCGUGGGGAGCAAACAGG